rnacentral:rRNA from 1 species
UACGUAGGUGACAAGCGUUGUCCGGAUUUACUGGGCGUAAAGAGCGCGCAGGCGGUCGUUCAAGUCGAGUGUGAAAGCCCCCGGCUCAACUGGGGAGGGUCAUUCGAUACUGAUCGACUCGAAGGCAGGAGAGGGUAGUGGAAUUCCCGGUGUAGUGGUGAAAUGCGUAGAGAUCGGGAGGAAGGCCGGUGGCGAAGGCGGCGCUCUGGAACGUUUCUGACGCUGAGGCUCGAAAGCGUGGGGAGCAAACAGG